GUCUGGUAGAUUGGCCGGCAGUGUCUGGUAGAUUGGAGGGCAAUCAGACACAGACUCACAAUCUACCAGACACUGCCCUCCAAUCUACCAGACA
rnacentral:pre_miRNA from 1 species